rnacentral:rRNA from 1 species
UACGUAGGGGGCGAGCGUUGUCCGGAUUUAUUGGGCUUAAAGAGCUCGUAGGCGGUUCGAUAAGUCGGACGUGAAAUCUCCACGCUCAACGUGGAGGGGCCGUUUGAUACUGUCGUGACUCGAGUCCGGUAGGGGAGUGUGGAAUUCCCGGUGUAGCGGUGAAAUGCGCAGAGAUCGGGAGGAACACCCGUAGCGAAGGCGGCACUCUGGGCCGGUACUGACGCUGAGGAGCGAAAGCGUGGGGAGCAAACAGG